rnacentral:rRNA from 1 species
AUUGAACGCUGGCGGCAGGCCUAACACAUGCAAGUCGAACGGUAACAGGAAGCAGCUUGCUGCUUCGCUGACGAGUGGCGGACGGGUGAGUAAUGUCUGGGAAGCUGCCUGAUGGAGGGGGAUAACUACUGGAAACGGUAGCUAAUACCGCAUAAUGUCGCAAGACCAAGGAGGGGGACCUUCGGGCCUCUUGCCAUCGGAUGUGCCCAGAUGGGAUUAGCUUGUUGGUGGGGUAACGGCUCACCAAGGCGACGAUCCCUAGCUGGUCUGAGAGGAUGACCAGCCACACUGGGAGUGAGACACGGUCCAGACUCCUACGGGAGGCAGCAGUGGGGAAUAUUGCACAAUGGGCGCAAGCCUGAUGCAGCCAUGCCGCGUGUAUGAAGAAGGCCUUCGGGUUGUAAAGUACUUUCAGCGGGGAGGAAGGGAGUAAAGUUAAUACCUUUGCUCAUUGACGUUACCCGCAGAAGAAGCACCGGCUAACUCCGUG